GGUUUUUAAAAGGUAAAAUGUGUUUGGUCUUUUAACAUGUCUUCCGAAUAAGAUGUAGACUAAAAGUUUUUUUUUUGUAUCUUUGUUUUCAUAAAAGAAAGCAUGUUUGUUUUUUAAAGUCUAUGGGUUGGUGUUGGAGGUGGUGGCGUUGGUGGGCCGGUGGUGGUGGUUACGGUGAUGCUGAUUGUCUCAUUUGUGUUGGUAGAGAUGUCCGUGGUAGAAAAAGAAAUAUUACAUUGGGGCAAAAACUCAGAAAAUGUUUUCCAAAAAUAGAAACUACUAUCUUUUAAAAAUAUAUAUGUCAAAAAGACGUUUUUAUACCUUGUCUUCCAAAAAACAGUUUUUUCCUCAAAUGUAUGUACCCUCCGUAUAUAAGUGAUCAAAAAGACCAUUUGCCAAAAAAAAACACCUAAUACUAUGUUUGGUGGACUAGUUGGCAAGCCGAGUAAUAGUUGAGAAUCAACUGCUAUCUAAAAUAUUUGUUGUCAACCGAUUAAAAAAAACAAAAUUUUAUAAAACUAGUUAAUAAGCUAGCUGAAACAUAUAAAAAAAAGACAUAAAAUGACAUGUACUAGAUUGAAUUUUUUUAUAAUAAUUAAUAAAGGGUAAAUUUUUGUGAGCUUGAAAAAAGCUCAAUAAAUUUGUUGAAAUAUUAGUCUAAAUUGGCAAUGUCUUAAAAUUUCAUAAUUAAGAGGCAAUGUCUUAAAAUUUCAGAUUCAGACCAUUUGUUUGCGUAUUAUAUUUUACCUCUUAAAAUGAAAAAUACCUCUUAUUUUUUCAGAGAAUAAACGAAGUCUGAAAAAUAAAAAUAAAAAAAGAGACGUGCUUCCUUUUUUCACUAUUUGCCCUAAUCAGAUUGAUGUGUCUUAUUUUUCCCCCUUGCAUCUGCUUGCUUCGCCUCGUUACUCCUCAGCAUCGGACGUCGCCCUAAUCGCCGAAGUCGUUGCACCCAGCAAUCGUCUCCUUCCUCCGCCGCCGCAAUGUUUGCCAUCUCCGUCUCGUUCUUCUUCCGACUGCAGUAGUCAAUCGCAGCAGCCAACAGCAAGGUAUUUUCUGUUUCCUCUUCUGUUUCUUCAUGCUUUCCCUCGAAUUAAUUGUUUCUUCUUGUGUUUCUUCCUUCUUUCCCCUCAAACUUGAACAUAAAAAACCGAAAUUGUUAUGCUAUUAUGCUAUUAAUUUUUUAUUUGUUCAAUAAAAAUCAAUGUUUGAUGUUAUGGUCGAUUUUGAUGUUAUAUCAUCGAAUAUGAAUGAGUUCAAUGGAUAUCAUGAAAUGUUGAUGUUGAAUAUUUUAUGUUAUGUUUGAUUUUUUAUACUCAAAUUUUUAUGUUUCAUGUUUUUGUGUUUGAGUAUUAAGCUGAAAUGUUGUUGAUGCUAGAGUUGUGACAUAAUAUUUAUGUUUAAUGCUUUAGUGAAAUCAUAUAUGCUCUUGUUGUUAUCAUGAAAUAUCCAUUAGUUUUGCUCAAUUGUGCAUUUGUUUUGUUGAAGUAGUUGUUGAAAAUGUGUCUUUAUAUUGCUUAAAUUGUUGUUGAAAAUGUGUAUUUGCAUUGCUUAACUUGUUGCUAAAACAUGCAUUUUUUUUGUUUGAAUUGAUCAAAGAAAGGGGAGAAAAGAAGGAUAGGAAUUAGUUGGAAGGUUGAAGGUGUAUAGAAAACCUUUCUAGAAGCUUGUUUACGUAAAGUUAUAGUUAAUGGACGGGAAGGGAGUAGUUUGAAAGCACUAUCUUGGAGGAAUGUAGCUGAAACACUAAAAAUUGAACAUAACUUUAUUGCCGACCAAAAACAAAUGAAGACCCGCUAUGACUACCUAAAGUCAAAGUUUUAUGCUUUUUUGAAGUUAAAAAACAAAACCGAGAAUGUAUACAAUUCAAACCAACACCUUCAAUCUUUCCAAAGAAGAAUGAGAACUAGAAUCGAAGGUAUUUUGUUAAUUUAUAAAAACUAGAUUAUCAUGUUUAAAUAAUAAAAUAUUUUUUCCAAACAGUCAAACAAACAUGUGGAUUCUUUGAGACGCACGCCACUACCGUACCCCGACCUUUGCACACAGUUGUUUGAAGGCGCGACUGCGACAGGCAUUCAUAGUUGGGGACCAAAUUCUACCCUUCCCCGUCCUACUCAAGAGUCAAGCCACUAUAGUUUGCAUGACUGUGAUGACAUCGAUUGCACUCAACAAGAAACUAUAGGUCUCCGUGACGAGUCAUCCGCUCAAUCAAAAAAACAAAAGACUACAGAUACGGGAAAGAGUCAAAAUAAAAGUAAAUAUAAGCGUAAAGAUAAGGGCAAAGAUGUAUCGAAUUCAAGAUUGCUUGAAAUCGGGGAAGAUAUUGCCACAGUUGCUAAGAUAUUUGUGGAAAAGCAUGCUUCUUCAAAUUUGGAUGCGUGUAUGGAAAAUGUCACAACUAGGAAUUUGAAGCCUUGUAAACAUUGAACAAUGAUAACAAAUGUAAACCAACAAUGGGAAAGCAUGUAAGAUGUUUAUUCAUUAACAACCAAAUCUCAAUCAAACACAUCAUAUAUGCACUACAAAUAGCCAACAAACUAUUGAGAACCAAGAAAUCCUUCUUUAAGUCCAUUUUGGACUAGGAUUUCCUUAUUGGGCCCAAUGGACCAAUAAGCUUCCACUUGGACUAUCUUGGGCUUAGAACUCUUGAAUGGGCUCUAAUUGGACCUACUUUCAUUUAUUUUAACAUUUUGGGCCAUAUUGGGCCUAGAAUGAAAUAAAACACCUUAAUGGACCUCAUUGGGCCAUAACUAACCUAAUUAGCCAUAAUGGGCCAUAAAAAUCAUUUCUUGAUUUAUUUUGGGCCAAUAGUUAUCUAAAUUAUCUAUGAUUUGGACUUAGGCAUUUAAGGGCCCAAUUCCUUCCUUUUUCUCUCCAAAUCUCGGCCCAAGCCCAAAAGAAAGGGAAGAGUUGACUUCUUGCAUGCCACAUCAUUUUUGUAUGGGGGAUAACUAAGCAUUACACUUCAAACAUCCAUGCACUUCUCAUCUUUCCAUGCAAUCUCACUCUCUCCUUUCCUCUCUCUUUUGUUCUCGGCCGACAACACAAAGAAACACACACACCUCACUAAAAAUUCUCUCUAAAUCACUUAAGACACCUCUCUUCCUCUUCAUCCAAAAAUCUCGAGUUUUGCUUGUGAUUCAAGAGGUUUUCAUCAAGUGGUUCGCAUCUUUGGUAAGCUAUCUCUUUGAUUCAUAACAUAUCUCCUUCAUUUUACCAACAAUCUUCCUUAUCUCAUACAACGAUUGUGAUCUUGCACCUUAGAAACAUCUAAGUUCGAGAUCCUCCAAGAAAGGUUGCUAGGAUCGAAUUCUUCUUCAUCUUUUCCUUCCAAAACCGAAACCACACUCAAGGUGAGUUUCAUACCCCCUUCUUUUCGGUUUUUAUGAGUUUUAUGGGGGAGAAUACAAGAAAAUGUGUUGAUCUAUGUGUAAAUGUAUGCUAUGUGUGAUUUGAUGCAUGUAUGUGUGUGAUAUCAUGUGUUUUGUGAUGAAUAUGUUAUCAAAAAGUGUGUAAUAACCGAGAUCUAAGACAUGAGAAAGGAAAUAAACAUAACUUAAGCUAUUUUCCACUAAUCAAGUCAAGAAAAAUAGUUCAUAAGGUUAGGAUAAACAUACUUGAACAUAAAACCCAUUUUUGGGCUUAAAUUGUCAAAAAUACAAACUUGGGGUAAAAAUCAACAAGUCACGGUUCUUGAAGGGUAAGAGGGUCCAAAACAGUUUCUAUAAAUAUUUUCCUGAUUUUUAGAAAUUUAUAAGGACUUAAAAUGUAAAUUCUUAACCUAAUGGGCUAAUUUUGGGCUUUUCGGCCCAAUAAGCCCCAAAAUGCAAAAUUUUACAAGUUGAGGGGCUGGAAAUGAAAUUUUCUGUAAAACAGGGAGUAAUUAGCAUAAUAAAAUGUUUAUAAGGUUCAAAAAUGCUUUUCAUUAUCAAAAAGGACUAAAAAUGCAAACUUUUUAGAUUUUGUGCCAAAAUUGUAAAAGUUGUAAAAAAUGGGUCCUUAACCGAGAACCACUAUUCUAGAGGGGCUGAAACUAUCAACUAAAUAAACUUUGGGGUAAAAUCGUGUUUUCAUCAAAUAAAUCAUACAAAAGUGUCAAGAAAAGUGUUUUAAAGACUAAAAAUGAAAUCCUUUUAUAUAAAAGGACCAAAAGUGUUAUUUUUAUAAAAGGAUGAGUAAUUAAAAAGGGCCAACACUCUACUUACAAACAAUCAAAUUAAGAUACAAGAUCCGCGAAUUACCGGCGAAAAUGGAAAACAAAUACACUCUCAACAAUACAUAUCGUUACCAAACGAAUUGAUUCGGUCUCGAAUCAAUAACAACACAAAAUCGUUAAACCAAAAUAAUUCGUUAAUCACGUGAUAACUAUAAUAAGUUAACAUACAAACUUUGGGCUUGAAAUUUUCAAAUCUUGCUUGUUGGGCCUUGCUGGCCAUCAACAUGAUCUUUGAGCCCAAAGGGAUUAUGCUUACGUGAUAUUGGGCCUUUUAUGACCCAAUUCCACGUNAUUAUGCUUACGUGAUAUUGGGCCUUCUAUGACCCAAUUCCACGUAAAAGGACUUUCAAUAGCUAUAAUGUGUUAUUGGGCCCUAAUGGCCCAUUAGUACUGCUAGUGAGGUCGAGAAGUCAAAUGCGAGUUGGGCCAAGUGUCUUUCGCAUUCCCGAUAGCCUUGAAUAACUCCUGGUAAUAAAUGGGGCUUCGUACCCUCCUUUCUCCUCGGUUGUUGGGCUAUGAGAAAACAAAGUAAACAGAUUUAGGACGAUAAACAAUAGUAAUCAGGGUGGGUGGAUUAAGUGAGUAGUAACGACCGAAGCCUUCAAGGAUCGUUCGUAAUCUGUAGUUAUAAACUAGUCAUUUUCCUAAUGCGCGAUUAUAACAACUCACAAACCCUAAUUAAUCCAACGCCACCCGGGUAAUCAAAAACAAUUGACAUAUCGGUAUAACAAUAAACAAGUCAUGUAUUUUACGUAUUGGGAAAACAUCGGGUUUUCCUGGGAAGUUCAACAUUUUCACUUGUGUGACGUAUACAAAGUUCAACAACUAUACAUGUUUUAAAAAUCAACAAGCAUAUUUACGGAUCUUCACACCUUUUUUUAAACAAAUACUCUUUUCAGAAAAUAUCGGAUUUUCUGGGUUUACAAACUACACCAAAUCAUUUUACUACAACAUUACUCAUGAACUGACCAACAUUUCAUAUGUUGACGUUUUUCAAAAUAACUUGUAUUCUCAGGUAACAGGUAAGCCGAAGAAUAAGUAUCAAGUUAUGUCAUGGUGUUUUGCUUAGAUUAUCUAUCGAACGGUUUAUGUUAUGAAAUUGAUAUGACUAAAACAAUGUAAUGGAUGUAAACGAUAUCAGUUGUAUUAUUUCAAUGCAUGGUGAUGAAUGAUGUUAUGAUUCAUGUAUAAUCAUUGUGAUGGUAUUCAAUUUAAGUCACAAGAGCCCUCGGACGUUUCCGCCGUCUGGUUCGGGGGUGAGACAUGAAAGUUGGAGAAGUUAGGAUGGGGAAUAUUUGAUCCAAGAUACACUACUGUUGUUGAUCUUUUUGGUGAAGGUGCGGAUAAGAGACACGUGUCGUUAACCAUUGAUCCAACUAUUUGUGAGAAUUGGGUCAAGACUGUUGGAGCACAUUAUGGAAUGUUUUGCUAAGUAGAUGUUUUGAAUGUUUUGAUGGUUUUUUUUUUGGAUAAGUACAUGUUUGGUUUGAACUAGAUGGUUCUUUUGGAUUGCUUGAUGUUUGGUUUGAACUAGAUGGUUUUUUUGGAUUACUUGAUGUUUUGUUUGAACUAGAUGUUUUUUUGGAUUAUUUGAUCUUUGGUUUGAACUAGAUUUUUAUAUGACAUGAAUGACUUGAUGUUUUGGAUGAAUUUUUAUGUUACAUGUUGUUAAUAUAAUUGUUAUGUAUUUUCAAAAUAACAGAUUGCUUAUGGAUUCGGAUGAAGAAAUUGCAUUUUUCAUUUUACUAUGUUGUUAUUGGUUAAAUCUAGCAUCCAAUAGAAUUGGAAGGGCAUUUGAUAAUGAUUCAGAAAUGAGCGGUCAUCAACAUACACAAGAAUUGUUACAUGGAACUUCUAAACAAUGUCAUGAGCUGAUGCGUCUUUCACGUGAAGCGUAUGUACUUUUAUGCAAUCAUUUAGACGAAACAAUUGGUUGCAAAGUAGUAGGCAUACAAGUGUUGAAGAAAAGAUGGCUAUGUUUUUUACAACUAUAGCACAUAACAAACGGUUCAGGAUUAUCAAACGAAGGUUUCAACACUCCACAGAAACUGUACAUAGAUGCUUUCAUGAGGUGCUAAAUGCAAAUAUGAUUUUUGCAAAAGAAAUUAUAGUGCCAACGAAUUCUAAUGCAACUGUGAAUUCCUCAGAGAGACAUCGUAGGCUAAAAAAAUAUUUACUGGAGCAAUAGGUGCGUUAGAUGGAACUCUUGUACAUGCAGUCGUGUCUGCUGAUCAACAACCUCGUUAUAAGGGAAUAGAAAAAGGUGAAUGCUUUCAAAAUGUUUUAGGAAUUUGUGAUUUUGAUAUGAUAUUCACAUUCGUAUGGGCCGGUUGGGAGGGUAUAACACAUAAUUCGCGAGUUUUGAAAGAAGUUGCAUUUAACCCGACUUCAAGCUUUCCGUUUCCUCCUCCAAGUUUGUAAUCCUUUUUAAAUUUAUUAUAAAAUACGCUUUUAAAUUUCUAUACAUAAUACUUCUUUCACUCAUGUGUAUAGAUAAAUAUUACAUUUGCGAUGCUGCAUACACCAACACUCGUGGAUUUAUGACUCCUUACCGUAACACGAGGUAUUGGUUAUCUGAUUAUCGACGACGACGUCCGUUAACUAAGGAAGAAAAAUUCAAUCAUGCACAUGCGCAACUCAGAGAUGUUGUUGAACGUGCUUACGGUGUUUUGAAGGCGCGAUUCCCAAUCCUAAAGCGAAUGACUCCUUUUCCUUUUUCAGUGCAAAGAGAUAUAGUCAUUGCUUGUUUUGCAGUCCACAAUUUCAUAAGAAAAUGCAAUAUUCAUGAUGAGUUAUUUAUGGCGUUCGAGGAGAACGAUGGUCAAACACAAGGGGUAGCGAAUGAUGGCCAAAACGUACACGAUAUGGAAUGGGGUUCACAAAGCAAUGAAUACAUGGUUAAUUUGUGUAACCAGAUUGCGAAUCAAUUGGGGUCAAAUUAAAUUUGUAGGAUUUUAUUUGGAUUUUAGUAUGAUUUUGUGGAUUUAAAAAUAUUUAUGUUUGAUUUGGAUUUGUAUUUGUAUUUAAUUUUGAUUUAUGCUAAAUCUGGAUUUUAUAUGGUGUUUAUAUUUUUUUAAUACCUAUUUAAGAAAUUUAUUAGGUUAUUUUCUAAACAAACAGUUGAAUUCAAUAAAAAAAACAAAAGGGUAAAAUGGUCAUUUUAAUAAUUCAACACAACAAUUCAGAGAUCCCAACCAAACAGCAUGUUAAACAUUCAGCUCUUAAAAUUUCAGACCCUCUUAGAAAUUCAGAUCUCUUAAAAAUUCAGAUCUUAAACAUUCAGAUCCUGCCAAACAGCCCCUAAGCCUUCUUACUAAAACAUAAAGAGCCACUCAAAUAUGGAGGGAUCGGUGUAGAACUCAACCUCGAACCUCGUACUAAGCAACACAACUACUAACUUCCUUUAAAAUCAUGUGGUCAUUUCUCAAAUUCCUCUAAAAUUCAAUCAAAAUAAGAGUCGUGUCACUGUUGUAUUAAAUUUGUUGCAAUCAAGUUACUCAUGCAAAUUUUAACUCGGUUUCAAAACUAAGAUUUGGCUUAGAGUGUAAAAUUGAAUGAUGAUUGUUAUUCAAGAACUAAACAAUAAGGUGAUGUUCGGUUUUUAAAAGGUAAAAUUUCUUUGGUCUUUUAACAUGUCUUCCGAAUAAGAUGUAGACUAAAAGUUUUUUUUUUGUAUCUUUGUUUUCAUAAAAAGAAAGCAUGUUUGUUUUUUAAAGUCUAUGGGUUGGUGUUGGAGGUUGUGGCGUUGGUGGGUCGGUGGUGGUGGUUGCGGUGAUGCUGAUUGUGUCAUUUGUAUUGGUAGAGAUGUCCGUGGUAGAAAAAGAAAUAUUACAUUGGGGCAAAAACUCAGAAAAUGUCUUCCAAAAAUAGAAACUACUAUCUUUUAAAAAAAAUAUCAAAAAGACAUUUUUAUACCUUGUCUUCCAAAAAACAGUUUUUUCUUCAAAUGUAUCCACCCUCCGUAUAUAAGUGAUAAAAAAGACCAUUUGCCAAAAAAAAACACCUAAUACUAUGUUUGGUGGACUAGUUGACAAGCCGAGUGAUAAUUGAGAAUCAACUGCUAUUUAAAAAAUUUAAUGC
rnacentral:lncRNA from 1 species